UAGGGAAUCUUCCGCAAUGGACGAAAGUCUGACGGAGCAACGCCGCGUGAGUGAAGAAGGAUUUCGGUUCGUAAAACUCUGUUGUUAGGGAAGAAAAAAUGUAUAGUAACUAUAUACAAAAGAGACGGUACCUAACCAGAAAGCCACGGCUAACUACGUGCCAGCAGCCGCGGUAAUACGUAGGGUGCGAGCGUUGUCCGGAAUUACUGGGCGUAAAGGGCUCGUAGGUGGUUUGUCGCGUCGUCUGUGAAAUUCCGGGGCUUAACGCCGGGCGUGCAGGCGAUACGGGCAUAACUUGAGUACUGUAGGGGUAACUGGAAUUCCUGGUGUAGCGGUGAAAUGCGCAGAUAUAAGGAGGAACACCGAUGGCGAAGGCAGGUGACUGGGCAGUUAAUGACGCUGAGGAGCGAAAGCAUGGGUAGCGAACAGG
rnacentral:rRNA from 1 species